UUGGAGGGCAAGUCUGGUGCCAGCAGCCGCGGUAAUUCCAGCUCCAAUAGCGUAUAUUAAAGUUGUUGCAGUUAAAAAGCUCGUAGUUGAAUUUCGGGGUCAGCAGGUUGGUCGUGCCUCUGGUACGCACUGGUUUCGCUGAUUCCUCCUUUCUGAAGAACUGUAAUGUCAUUAAUUUGGUGUUGCAGGGAAACAGGACUGUUACUUUGAAAAAAUUAGAGUGUUUAAAGCAAGCUAACGCUUGAAUACAUUAGCAUGGAAUAAUGAAAUAGGACGUCUGAUCCUAUUUUGUUGGUUUCUAGGAUUGACGUAAUGAUUAAUAGGGAUAGUUGGGGGCAUUAGUAUUCAAUUGUCAGAGGUGAAAUUCUUGGAUUUAUUGAAGACUAACUACUGCGAAAGCAUUUGCCAAGGAUGUUUUCAUUAAUCAAGAACGAAAGUUAGGGGAUCGAACACGAUCAGAUACCGUCGUAGUCUUAACCAUAAACUAUGCCGACUAGGGAUCGGAUGAUGUUAAUUUUUUAAUGACUCAUUCGGCGCCUUACGGGA
rnacentral:rRNA from 1 species